rnacentral:rRNA from 1 species
ACGUCAAGUCCUCAUGGCCCUUAUGACCAGGGCUACACACGUGCUACAAUGGCCGGUACAAAGAGUUGCGAUACAGCGAUGUGGAGCUAAUCUCAUAAAGCCGGUCUCAGUUCGGAUUGGAGUCUGCAACUCGACUCCAUGAAGUUGGAAUCGCUAGUAAUCGCGGAUCAGCACGCCGCGGUGAAUACGUUCCCGGGCCUU